UCCGUAGGCGGUGCGGCAAGUCGGAAGUGAAAUCUCAGGGCUUAACCCUGAGGCUGCUUCCGAAACUGCCGUGCUGGAGUGCGAGAGAGGCGAGUGGAAUUGCAGGUGUAGCGGUGAAAUGCGUAGAUAUCUGCAGGAACAUCCGAGGCGAAAGCGGCUCGCUGGAUCGCAACUGACGCUGAGGGACGAAAGCUAGGGGAGCAAACAGGAUUAGAUACCCUGGUAGUCCUAGCCCUAAACGAUCAGGACUGGGCGUGGGCCUCGUACGGGGCUCGUGCCGCAGCUAACGCGUUAAGUCCUGCGCCUGGGAGUACGGUCGCAAGGCUGAA
rnacentral:rRNA from 1 species